AUACAAAUAUUGUAAAUAAUAAGUACGAUCUGUCUGUUGAUUUCAUUACGUUGCCCUUAUAUUCAGUGAGAAUUUGCGAUGGAGUUGUCUUUAACAAUCAAGCAAUGUUAGCAUUUUUGGUACUACAGUACAGUUUCGUUGAACUAUUUGCUAAAAAAAACUAAAAUCCCUUUUACAGGUUUCAACUCAUUUCGGUUCAAUUAAAGUUGAAGCAAUUCAACUUUAGAUCAAAUGAACUCAUUUUUGGUAUUACGAUUUACAACUAUUAGUUUGCUAUUAAUGCCAACCUAAAAAAUGAAGAUUUCACAAAUAAUUAAGCAUCUGAAGUUUUUUAAAUGAUAAAUUAAAACAAUUUAAUUGAGUUAUUGUUCAAAAGGUAAAUAAUUAUUAAUAUGAACAUUAUUUUUUAUUUAUGCAACUAUUACGAUGACAAAAAUGUUACGGUAAAAACUGAUGUGCUGCGCAUAAGAAAAAUCCUUUCUUUAUUUUGCCAAAAGUUUUAUUGACAACUCAACUCACCACGUCCGAUAACACCAUACUCACUCACCACACAUCUACAUCAUUCAACCCACUCAACAAAAAGGAUGGAAAAAAGGAUAGCAAACAUUAUUUUUUUCGUUUACACCAUUCGUACCAAGCAAUUCGUCUACAAGACUUUUGCUUGUGCACUGCGCCGCGUUAGGACUCUACCCUAAUUAUACCUUUUUCGAUACCAAUCCCGCGCGCUGCAAUAAUUUGAAGAACCGAAGGAGAAUCGGACAAAUCGUUUCGUUACCCUCGAACUCGCUGAUUUUUAAACAAUAAUUUCAAUUGUAACGUUGCUAACUUUUUAUAAAAAGAAAUUAAACUUUAAUAAAUCGAAUUUUUACUUAA